rnacentral:rRNA from 1 species
AUCUACUUUAAAAUGCUGAAUGCACCAGAUCCCUUCUGAUCUUGGAAUCUAAGCAAGGUCAGCUCAGGUUAGUACUUGGAUGAGAGACUGCCUGUGAAUGCCAGGUGCUGUAGGCU